CCAGGCGUUCAUGACCCAGGGCUGGGGAAGCACUUUCCAGACGUGGCAACAACCAGGACAGCAGGUCCCAAGUCAGCAAAACCAGCAGCAGAAUAGCCAACCAGAUUACAGCAAGGCAUGGGAAGACUAUUACAAGAAGCAGAGUCACGCUGCCACA